UUGGGCUGCUUGAUCAUGAUUUCAUGGCUCUUGUGAUAGCUUGGGAGCAGUUUCAGCAGCUGUGCCAUGGAGAGCGGCAGCCAGGUGGGCUGACCUACAGCGUUGGCCAAGAAAUCAAGUGAGUAUUUAACAACUUAUUUGCCUUCAAGUUGGUUGUCAGACAACUGAUUGGCAUCAUCUUCACGUAUGCCAAGCAAGUGUGCUGUCCUUAUUUUGCAAACUCAGAGCUACGCACUUUUGCUGCUAAUGCCCAUCAAAGGAUUGCUGCAUAGGUGCUGAAAUUGUCUGGCAAUCUCGGUGCAUGUCCUCACACAUUCUGUACAAAAUCCAUGAAUUUUGCAGCAAGAGUACACCUGUGCUGAACAUAUUUUGGCUAUUUAGUUCUCCCUUUAACCAUGCAAUCCUCAUCAAACAGGGAUGCAGCGUGUCGGCUGGUUGUCCUGGCUGAAAGGGUGCUGCCAGCAAAAGACCUGGCAUCCAUAAAGUUUCAAUGCAUUGUGGAACAUGCGUGGAGGGAUAUGCUGAAUCAUGGCAACCCUUACAACC
rnacentral:lncRNA from 1 species